AGGUGCUAAAGGGCAUGCAGGAGCACAAUCCCCACCGAGAGCCAGAGAUCGUGUGUUUGAGGCUCGCCGGGAGCUGAUCAACAGGAUAGAUGAUGCCUCUCUCAGAGCUCUACUGGAUGGCCUUCAGCAGGGGGUCACUGGCAGGCCUGCUGUGAUGAUGGAUCGGCAGAGAAACGAGAUUUUGCAAGAACAUCGUGUGACUCAGGACCAGGUGACGUGUCUUGUUGACAUGUUGUGGAAGAAGGGUGAGUGGGCCUGUAGAAGAUUUCUAGAUGUCCUGGAGGAAGUGGAGCCUGCCCUCUGUGAAGACCUGUUUGGUCUUGUGAAUUCAGCAGCAACAAGACCCCCACAGGAAGCAG